AGUGAACGCUGGCGGUAGGCCUAACACAUGCAAGUCGAACGGAAGCACAGUAAGAGCUUGCUCUUACGGGUGGCGAGUGGCGGACGGGUGAGGAGUACAUCGGAAUCUACUUUUUCGUGGGGGAUAACGUAGGGAAACUUACGCUAAUACCGCAUACGACCUACGGGUGAAAGCAGGGGAUCUUCGGACCUUGCGCGAUUGAAUGAGCCGAUGUCGGAUUAGCUAGUUGGCGGGGUAAAGGCACACCAAGGCGACGAUCCGUAGCUGGUCUGAGAGGAUGAUCGGCCACACUGGAACUGAGACACGGUCCAGACUCCUACGGGAGGCGGCAGUGGGGAAUAUUGGGCAAUGGGCGCAAGCCUGAUCCAGCCAUACCGCGUGGGUGAAGAAGGCCUUCGGGUUGUAAAGCCCUUUUGUUGGGAAAGAAAAGCAGCAGGUUAAUACCCCGCUGUUCUGACGGUACCCAAAGAAUAAGCACCGGCUAACCUCGUG
rnacentral:rRNA from 1 species